rnacentral:rRNA from 1 species
CCUACGGGGGGCAGCAGUGAGGAAUAUUGGUCAAUGGGCGGGAGCCUGAACCAGCCAAGUCGCGUGAGGGAAGACGGUCCUACGGAUUGUAAACCUCUUUUGCCGGGGAGCAACGGGGUCCUUGCGAGGUCCCAAUGAGAGUACCCGGAGAAAAAGCAUCGGCUAACUCCGUGCCAGCAGCCGCGGUAAUACGGAGGAUGCGAGCGUUAUCCGGAUUUACUGGGCGUAAAGGGAGCGUAGGCGGCCUGCCAAGUCUGAUGUGAAAUACCGGGGCUCAACCCCGGGGCUGCAUUGGAAACUGGCAG